AGUAAUGUAAGCUAAUUUAAGCUCUUAGGUUCAUACCCCAAAAAUGAAAGACAACCUUUCCUUUACUA
rnacentral:tRNA from 2 species